rnacentral:lncRNA from 1 species
AGUAGUUCAUCAGCAUCUUUCAACAUAUGAUUGAAAUCACUACUACCAGCUUCUGUAUCAUCCUCCAUAUCCUAGUUAAAUUCAGGACCAACCAUAUUCAUAACCAUAUCUACCAUUAUGUCUGUAUCCUUGUACUGCUAAGAACUUCUAACCCUUGCAAUUAUCUCUCACGUCUCUCCAUGUAGGUACCAAUAUUUGUAUUGUGGCA